AGCCCGGACGGCAACUUGGAUGCGAGUGCCAAGUGGGCCACUUUUGGUAAGCAGAACUGGCGCUGUGGGAUGAACCAAACGCCCGGUUAAGGGGCCCGAUGCGAGACGCUCAUGAGAUCCCAUGAAAGGUGUUGGUUGCUAUAGACAGCAGGACGGUGGCCAUGGAAGUCGGAAUCCGCUAAGGAGUGUGUAACAACUCACCUGCCGAAGCAACUAGCCCUGAAAAUGGAUGGCGCUUCAGCGUCGACCCUAUACCGAGCCGCCGCGGCCGAAAAGCCUCGUGUUUUAAGCCGCGGUGAGUAGGAGGGGCGCGGAGGCGAGCGUCGAAGGUGCCGGGCGUAAGCCCGCCUGGAGCCGCCUCCGGCGCAGAUCUUGGUGGUAGUAGCAAAUACUCAAGUGAGAACCUUGAGGACUGAGGUGGAGAAGGGUUCCAUGUGAACAGCAGUUGAACAUGGGUCAGUCGGUCCUAAGGGAUAGGAGAAAUCCGUUCCGAGGCGGGACCUCUCUAAAGCAAGUCCCGCUGAUGACCGAAAGGGAAUCGGGUUAAUAUUCCCGAACCCGGACACGGAGAUCGUCCUCUUCGGAGGUACAUUGCGGUAACGCAAACGAGCUCGAAGACGUCGACGGGAGCACCGGGAAGAGUUAUCUUUUCUUUGUAAGGAUUCGACUCCCUGGAAUCGGCUCGCCCGGAGAUAGGGAUGGUGUUUCCGUAAAGCACCGCGCCUCUUGCGGUGUCCGGAUCGCUCCCGUCGGCCCUUGAAAAUUCGAGUGAGAGAUAGUGAUUUUCGUGCCGGACCGUACCCAUAUCCGCAGCAGGUCU
rnacentral:rRNA from 1 species